rnacentral:rRNA from 1 species
GACGAGGGAUCCUAGCGUUGCUCGAAAUUAUUGGGCGUAAAGCGGGUGUAGGUGGCUUGGUAAGUCGGGUGUGAAAGCCCAGGGCUCAACCCUGGAAGUGCAUUCGAUACUGCUAAGCUUGAGUGCGAGAGAGGUUAAUAGAAUACCUGGUGUAGUGGUGAAAUACGUAGAUAUCAGGUGGAACACCGGAGGCGAAGGCGGUUAACUGGCUCGACACUGACACUGAGACCCGAAAGUGCGGGGAUCAAACAGG